GGGGUAGUAAAGGUUUCGACAGGGGUUUUGAAGCUGGUGAAGCUAUUCGCAGACGAUGCGUCAAAUCGUAAACUUAAAUAUAAACGCUAACGAUAAUUUAGCUUACGCUGCCUAGUUGCAGCAGUCUGACCUAGCGCACCUACACUUUAGGAUUCAGGCUUCGACUAUGUAGGAAACGACUCAACCAAAGCUUUGCGGUUGAUGGGCGUAUGAUGAAGCUACUAAAAGCAUUGGAAUGUUGAUUUUCCCAUGCUGGAGGGAAUGUAUAACAAUCAACUAUAAUAGUAGAAGAACAGUGAAUGGGCUUUUGGACACGGGUUCGACUCCCGUCUACUCCAUCU
rnacentral:tmRNA from 1 species